AGUCUUCUCUGCAGACACCAGCCUGGUGUCCUCCUUCAUCCCAGGCUGCCAGGCUAGGCAGGGGGCAGCGGCUGCCCUGGUCCUCACAGCCCUGGCUGCGGGGCUGGUGACAGCCAGAUCCUCAUGCUUCUGUGACCAGAGCGCUGCCUUCAGACACCUCUCUGCUGGCGUGUUCCUGGGUCCAUGAUGGAAGAAGGAAAAGUAUUUUUAAAAGACAAUCUAAAGCUCACACUGUGACUGCAACAUAAAAUGUGUUCACCUGAGGAGACUGCUUUCACCGUGAGUGUGUCACAGAUGGUAGAAACCUCAGAAGGCCACAGUCCAGAGUAGGGGCUCAAUGCAAUGCAAGCUGCUGGAACUGAAUAAAGGUCUCUGAUGGUUCUGGUUUCCUGGGCACCUAGAAUAAGUGUGUCAUCAUUUGUUCUGAAGCUGACUUCUCUGAGCUGGAUGGCACCCUGGACAUCAACCAGCCCUUCACCUUCACGUCACACAGGAGGGACACUGGUCCACAGAGAGGAUGCCUGCUCUGGUCACCAGCUGGAGAGUGGCAGACCUUGGGUACCUGACCUUUGGACUCUGCCACGCAGAGCACUUCCUCAGUCCCUCCUGCUGCCCCUGGCAGGGUGGAGCUGGCAGGGCAGCUGAUCCAGGACCGUCCACUUCCAAGCCAGCAGGAGGAUGGAAAAACAGAAUGGAGGGGAAACAACCUCCUUUGCAGGGCGUGACUCGGAAGUUGGACACAUCAUUUCCAGCCACAUUCCAUGGACCAGA
rnacentral:lncRNA from 1 species